rnacentral:lncRNA from 1 species
AAACUAUGGAAGAAAUGGAAGCGAGGAAAAAGUAAAUUAUGGAGUUGACGCAGAAAUGUGCAGCUAAUGAUGCUAGGUUUGCUAAAUUUGAUAAAUUGGAGGAGUUGGUUAAGAAGCACAUGCCGCAAAUAUUUUAGGACGAGGAAGAUAAUGAAUCUGAUGAUAAUUAGAUUGUAGUUAUUGUUCUUGUUUUUGGUUUUGAUAUUUACAUGUUUAAACUAUUUGAUUUG